UACGUAGGGUGCGAGCGUUGUCCGGAAUUACUGGGCGUAAAGAGCUCGUAGGUGGUUUGUCGCGUUGUUCGUGAAAACUCACAGCUCAACUGUGGGCGUGCAGGCGAUACGGGCAGACUUGAGUACUGCAGGGGAGACUGGAAUUCCUGGUGUAGCGGUGGAAUGCGCAGAUAUCAGGAGGAACACCGGUGGCGAAGGCGGGUCUCUGGGCAGUAACUGACGCUGAGGAGCGAAAGCGUGGGGAGCGAACAGG
rnacentral:rRNA from 1 species